GAUGAAGAACGCAGCGAAAUGCGAUACUUGGUGUGAAUUGCAGAAUCCCGUGAACCAUCGAGUCUUUGAACGCAAGUUGCGCCCGAAGCCAUUAGGCCGAGGGCACGCCUGCCUGGGCGUCACACGUCGUUGCCCCCCCCAUCUACUCCUUCGGGAUUGCGGGGGGCGGAUGAUGGCCUCCCGUGCGCCUCGCCGCGCGGUUGGCAUAAAUGCCAAGUCCUCGGCGAUGCACGCCACGACAAUCGGUGGUUGCGAAACCUCGAUUGCCCGUCGUGUGCGGUCGUCGCGCAUCGAGGGCUCGAAAAAAUUGCCGGGUUCCGGCUCGGCUUUCAACGCGACCCCAGGUCAGGCGGGGUUACCCGCUGAAUUUAAGCAUAUCAAUAAGCGGAGGA
rnacentral:misc_RNA from 1 species